rnacentral:rRNA from 1 species
GGUGUUCAACAUAUUCGAAAAAUCUGGACGACAACAAAGCAACAAAUAGCGCUUGGUCAGGAGGUAGGUGUAUCCAGCAGAAGGAAAGGAAGAUGCGAAAGGAAAGGAAAAGAUGAUACUCUAUCCCAAAUCCCCACAGUUCCUUUGAAUAGAAGGUCAACUCUCAGGUCACUUGCUCGCCAAUUGGGUGUCAGUCAUACUACACUCUACAAGAAAUUGAAGCUUUGCAAGAUUAGGAGGCACUCCAAUUGUUUGAAGCCAACCUUGAAAGAAAAGAAUAAAAGAGAAAGGAUCAAGUUUUGUUUGUUAAUGCUUGACGAGACCACCUUAGCAACCCCAAGACCUAAAUUCAUCAGUAUGCACAACAUUGUGCAUAUUGACAAAAGGUGGUUCUAUAUGAAGAAAAUGAACAUAUGCUACUACCUCCUCCCUGAGGAACAUGACCCAGUCAGAACUAUUCGGAACAAGAACUGUAUUGGUAAAGUGAUGUUUCUGACCACUGUUUCUCGACCUAGAUAUGAUGUUGAAGGAAAUAUGACAUUCUCAGGUAAAAUUGGUGUCUGGCCCUUUGUGCAAGAGAUUCCCGCUGCUAGAAUAAGUGAAUAUAAAGCAAGAGGGACCACUGGAAUCAAGUCUGUCAACGUGAACUGA